CGCGGCCUAUCAGCUUGUUGGUGAGGUAACGGCUCACCAAGGCAUCGACGGGUAGCUGGUCUGAGAGGAUGAUCAGCCACACUGGGACUGAGACACGGCCCAGACUCCUACGGGAGGCAGCAGUAGGGAAUCUUGCGCAAUGGGCGAAAGCCUGACGCAGCAACGCCGCGUGGGGGAUGAAUGCCUUCGGGUUGUAAACCCCUUUCAGCAGGGACGAAAUUGACGGUACCUGCAGAAGAAGGUCCGGCCAACUACGUGCCAGCAGCCGCGGUAAUACGUAGGGACCAAGCGUUGUCCGGAAUUAUUGGGCGUAAAGAGCUCGUAGGCGGUUCAGUAAGUCGGGUGUGAAAACUCAAGGCUCAACCUUGAGACGCCACUCGAUACUGCUGUGACUUGAGUCCGGUAGAGGAGUGUGGAAUUCCUGGUGUAGCGGUGAAAUGCGCAGAUAUCAGGAGGAACACCAGCGGCGAAGGCGGCACUCUGGGCCGUAACUGACGCUGAGGAGCGAAAGCGUGGGGAGCGAACAGGAUUAGAUACCCUGGUAGUCCACGCCGUAAACGGUGGGAACUAGAUGUGGGGUCCGUUCCACGGAUUCCGUGUCGCAGCUAACGCAUUAAGUUCCCCGCCUGGGGAGUACGG
rnacentral:rRNA from 1 species